GAUGAAGAACGCAGCGAAAUGCGAUAAGUAGUGUGAAUUGCAGAAUUCAGUGAAUCAUCGAAUCUUUGAACGCACAUUGCGCCCGCCAGUAUUCUGGCGGGCAUGCCUGUUCGAGCGUCAUUACAACCCUCAGGCCCCCGGGCCUGGCGUUGGGGAUCGGCGGAGCCCCCCGUGGGCACACGCCGUCCCCCAAAUACAGUGGCGGUCCCGCCGCAGCUUCCAUCGCGUAGUAGCUAACACCUCGCGACUGGAGAGCGGCGCGGCCACGCCGUAAAACACCCAACUCUUCUGAAGUUGACCUCGAAUCAGGUAGGAAUACCCGCUGAACUUAAGCAUAACAAUAAGCGGAGGA
rnacentral:misc_RNA from 1 species